rnacentral:lncRNA from 9 species
GUUGAGGCGCUGCGUCACUCGGUGGUGGCGAUGGUGCGUGUGUGUGGGGGGCGGGGGAUACGCUGGGCGCGUCCCGGGGGUCACGUGGUGCGCAGCACGCAGAGCCCUUCUGUCGGUUGGUCCUGGAGCGGCGCAGCCGGAGCGGGGCUGUGAGGUUCUGGGAAUGGCCUGGGAAAGGAGAAUAAAGGCAGCCCCGUUGAUGACUGAAAAUGACAAAGCAUCCACCUAACAGACGAGGAAUCAGCUUUGAAGUGGGAGCCCAGUUGGAAGCCCGGGACCGAUUAAAAAACUGGUAUCCAGCUCACAUAGAAGAUAUUGACUACGAAGAAGGAAAAGUACUCAUUCAUUUCAAGCGUUGGAACCAUCGUUAUGAUGAGUGGUUCUGCUGGGACAGUCCUUAUUUACGUCCUUUAGAGAAAAUACAGCUGAGGAAAGAGGGCUUACAUGCAGAGGAAGGAUCUUCUGAAUUUCAAAUAAACGAGCAGGUUCUCGCCUGUUGGUCUGAUUGUCGUUUUUACCCAGCCAAAGUCACUGCUGUUAACAAGGAUGGUACUUACACUGUGAAAUUUUAUGAUGGAGUAGUUCAAACUGUCAAACAUAUUCAUGUCAAAGCUUUUUCCAAAGAUCAGAAUAUUGUGGGUAAUGCUAGGCCUAAAGAAACAGAACACAAAAGUCUUUCAUCAUCUCCUGAUAAACGAGAGAAGUUUAAAGAGCAGAGAAAAGCGACAGCUAAUGUGAAGAAAGACAAAGAGGACAAAGCCUUGAAGACAGAAAAGCAACCUAAGCAGCCUGAUAAAGAAGGAAAGUUAAUCUGUUCUGAAAAGGGGAAGGUGUCAGAGAAGAACCUUCCUAAGAACGAGAAGGAAGAUAAGGAGAACAUUUCAGAAAAUGACAGAGAGUAUUCUGGAGAUGCUCAAGUGGAUAAGAAACCUGAAAAUGACAUUGUGAAGAGUCCACAAGAAAACUUGAGGGAGCCAAAAAGAAAACGAGGCAGACCCCCUUCCAUAGCUCCUACUGCUGUGGAUUCAAACAGUCAAACUUUGCAACCAAUAACGUUGGAACUGAGAAGACGGAAAAUAUCAAAAGGAAGUGAAGUCCCCAUAAAACGUCCUCGGCUUGACAAAAAUUCAUCCCAGGAAAAGUCAAAAAACUACUCGGAAAACACUGACAAAGACUUAUCAAGGAGACGGUCCUCCAGGCUGUCCACUAAUGGGACCCAUGAGAUCCUAGACCCUGACUUGGUUGUAUCAGAUUUGGUUGAUACGAUUAAUACCGAUACUUUGCAAAACACAUCAACCGGUACCAAGGAAUCUGAAAAAGGUCAGUUGAAAUCUCCUUUGGAAGCUGGCCAGGUUUCAUCUGCACUAACUUGCCACUCCAUUGGGGAUGGACUGGGGCCUGCAGGCUUGGAGUUGAACUGCAAGUCAAUGGGAGAAAACGCUAUGAAAACAGAACCGGCUUCUCCCCUCACUGAGUUACAAGAGAUUUCUACUGUGGCAGUAACAAAUACUUUUAAGAAAACAGAUGAUUUUGUGACAUCUAAAGCACCAGCUGUCGACCUAGAUCACAAGUUUAGGUGCAAGGUUGCAGAUUGUUUAAAAUUUUUCCGCAAAGCCAAGCUCUUGCACUAUCACAUGAAGUAUUUCCACGGAAUGGAGAAGUCACCAGAGCCGGAGGAGAACCCAGGAAAGAGGCAUGUCCAGACAAGGGGCUCUUCAGCUUCAGACAAGACCAGCCAGGAGAGCCUGACCAGGAAGCGGGUCUCUGCCAGUUCCCCAACUGCAAAAGACAAGGAAAAGAAUAAAGAGAAGAAAUUCAAAGAGUUUGUGAGGGUGAAGCCAAA